AUUUGUAGUUCAUUUUUCAUUUUCUUAGUCAAGUUCAGUUUCCACAAUCUCUUUCCUCCAUAGUCGAUCUCUUUUGUCUACUCCUCCUCUAAUUCAAUUGUCAAUCAAGAUAUGUAGGAUGAUUUUUUUUAAGGAAAAUGAGAUGAUUUUUGUGUUAUUCGUAUAUUUUAUAAUGAGUUAUAGAUUAAAAUUACGCAUUUUAUAUGUGAAAAAAUAUAGUUAGAAAACAAGAUAGAAAAAUAAUUCUUUUUUAUAUAUGUGCUUAUUAAUGUAUAUUAUUAUUAUUUGAAUACAUAUUCAAUUCAUAUUCAAAUUCGAAAAAAUAACCGAUUAUAUCCGAAUCUGUUUUUAGCAGGUAUGAUAAUAAAAAUUUAGGGUAAACUUCAGAUACCAUUCCUGUGGUUUCGCACUUUUUCACUUUAGUACCCUAUAAUUUAAAGUAUAUCAAAUUAGUGUCCUGCCGUUUUAUUUUUAUCUUUUUGUCAGCUUCUCCGUUAAUAUUUCGUUAAAUUAUAUACAAAAAACUUCAAACACUCCACCUAGGUUUUUCAAAUAUUUACUUUAAUACCCUUUAGUUUUAACUUUGUCAUUGAUUUAAUAAAAAAAAUUAGUAAAAUUUAUAAUAAAAAAAUAAAAAAUAAAAUCACAUGGCACUAAAUUGAUACACUUUAAACCACAUGGUAUUAAAGUGAAAAAGUGUGAAACCACAUUGACGGUAUUUGAAAUUUUUUCAAAAAUUUAAUAUCCGACACAUAUUUGUACCUGAAAAAAAAGAAUAUAGAUGCGAACGUGGUUUUGUCAAAUAUCCGAUCAUUUUCGAUCCGUUUUCACCCCUAACAAUAUCCCAUCUCUUUCUCACACGUGGAAUCAUCUAAUUUGAUCUACAGAUGAACCGGUCCCCGUUUAAGCCAGCGUUGACUUUGCCGAACCGGGGGAGUAACCACAGAACGAGACUCCGCGGAGAAUCGUUGACUGGGCCACAAAAGUCAACACAAAACUAUUCCCUGCACCGGCGCGUACCGUACUCCACACGCGGCCCAGGUAAAAAUGUAUGCAGAUCCCCUCAAUUAUAGGGUAUUCGGAACUUCAGCCCUCAACUUUAAAUUUUUUUUCCGAAAAAACUUCAAAUGCCACUUUUAUAAUUUCGCACUUUCUCACUUUCGUACCAUGCGGUUUAAAGUGUAUCACUUUAUACCCUGUGAUUUUAUUUUUCUCUUUUUGUUAUUUUCUUCGUUAAUUUUUUUCGUUAAAUCAAUGACAAAGUUAAAACUAAAUAGUACAAAAGUGAAUAUUCGAUAAACUAUGGAUGAGGUAUUUGAAGUUUUUUAUAUAUAAUUUAAUGAAAAGUUAACGGAAGGACUGACAAA
rnacentral:lncRNA from 1 species